UGGGGAAUAUUGGACAAUGGGCGCAAGCCUGAUCCAGCAAUGCCGCGUGUGUGAAGAAGGCCUUCGGGUUGUAAAGCACUUUUAUCAGGAGCGAAACGCUGUCGGCUAAUACCCGGCGGAACUGACGGUACCUGAGGAAUAAGCACCGGCUAACUUCGUGCCAGCAGCCGCGGUAAUACGAAGGGUGCAAGCGUUAAUCGGAAUUACUGGGCGUAAAGCGUGCGUAGGCGGUUUCUUAAGUCUGCUGUGAAAUCCCCGGGCUCAACCUGGGAAUGGCAGUGGAUACUGGGAGGCUAGAGUGUGUCAGAGGGUGGUGGAAUUCCCGGUGUAGCGGUGAAAUGCAUAGAGAUCGGGAGGAACAUCAGUGGCGAAGGCGGCCACCUGGGACAACACUGACGCUGAGGCACGAAAGCGUGGGGAGCAAACAGGAUUAGAUACCCUGGUAGUCCACGCCCUAAAACGAUGCGAACCGGAUGUUGGUCUCAACUCGGAGAUCAGUGUCGAAGCUAACGCGUUAAGUUCGCCGCCUGGGGGAGUACGGUCGCAAGACUGAAACUCAAAGGAAUUGAC
rnacentral:rRNA from 1 species